rnacentral:rRNA from 1 species
AUUGAACGCUGGCGGAAUGCUUUACACAUGCAAGUCGAACGGCAGCAUGGACUUCGGUCUGGUGGCGAGUGGCGAACGGGUGAGUAAUGUAUCGGAACGUGCCCAGUCGUGGGGGAUAACGUAGUGAAAAUUACGCUAAUACCGCAUACGAUCUAUGGAUGAAAGCGGGGGAUCGCAAGACCUCGCGCGAUUGGAGCGGCCGAUAUCAGAUUAGGUAGUUGGUGGGGUAAAGGCCCACCAAGCCAACGAUCUGUAGCUGGUCUGAGAGGACGACCCGCCACACUUGAACUGAGACCAGGUACAGACGACUACGGGAGGCAGCAGUGGGGAAAUUUGGAGAAUGGACGAAAUCCUGAUCCAGCCAUUCCGCGUGCAGGAUGAAUGCCCUCGGGUUGCAAACUGCUUUUGUACAGAACGAAAAGGUUUCUACUAAUACUAGGAGCUCAUGACGGUACUGUAAGAAUAAGCACCGGCUAACUACGUGCCAGCAGCCGCGGUAA